GAUGAACGCUGGCGGCAUGCCUAAUACAUGCAAGUCGGGCGGACAGAGGUGUUUCUUGUGUCGGAGGUGUGAGUGACGCGUGAGAGCGUGCCCUGGGGAUGGGAACAAUAUCUGGCUACGGUUGCUAAUAGCACGUGGGCUUAGUAGCAAAUGAUGGAAUCCACCCGAGGGGGGGCAAGCGUCUGAUUGUCUAGGUGGUGCUGCUAUAGCUUACCAAGGCGAUGAUCAGUAUUUGCUAGGAGAGGGUGAUCGGCCACACUGGGACUGAGACACGGACUAGAGUCCUACCGGAGACAGCAGAAAGCAAUAUUCCGCAACGGGCGAUGGGUUGUCGGGGCAAUGCCACGUGGAGGUUGAAGGCCUACGGAUGAUCAUCUUCUUUAGCCGCAGAAGAAGCAAUGACGGUAUCUGGUGAAUAAGCAACGGCUAACUCUGUG
rnacentral:rRNA from 1 species